rnacentral:rRNA from 1 species
UACGUAGGGCGCAAGCGUUAUCCGGAAUUAUUGGGCGUAAAGAGCUCGUAGGCGGUUUGUCGCGUCUGCCGUGAAAGUCCGGGGCUCAACUCCGGAUCUGCGGUGGGUACGGGCAGACUAGAGUGAUGUAGGGGAGACUGGAAUUCCUGGUGUAGCGGUGAAAUGCGCAGAUAUCAGGAGGAACACCGAUGGCGAAGGCAGGUCUCUGGGCCUGUACUGACGCUGAGGAACGAAAGCGUGGGGAGCGAACAGG